rnacentral:tRNA from 2 species
GGGCCGUUAGCUCAGUUGGUUAGAGCAGGCGACUCAUAAUCGCUUGGUCGCUGGUUCAAGUCCAGCACGGCCCACCA